UACGUAGGUGGCAAGCGUUGUCCGGAUAUACUGGGCGUAAAGCGCACGUAGGCGGCGCCGUAAGUCAGGGGUGAAAUCCCGGAGCUCAACUCCGGAACUGCCUUUGAAACUGCGGUGCUAGAAUCCUGGAGAGGCGAGUGGAAUUCCGAGUGUAGAGGUGAAAUUCGUAGAUAUUCGGAAGAACACCAGUGGCGAAGGCGACUCGCUGGACAGGUAUUGACGCUGAGGUGCGAAAGCGUGGGGAGCAAACAGG
rnacentral:rRNA from 1 species